CAACCUCUAGCGAUACCCGUACAUGUUG
rnacentral:ncRNA from 1 species